CCGUCAAAUAUAAUUCUAGCUCUUGCUCUUUAUAGCGGUGCACACAUUCUCGAGUUCUUGGAUUGGCCACUGCUUCAAAAUUAUGAGAAAGAAGUUCAAAGUGAAGAAGAUUUACAAAAAGAAAGGUAAAAGUUUCAAUUAUGUAUUGUUUCACUGUACAAACCGUUUUUCCGAUUUUAAAAGACCAAUAUAUAGUACGUAACUUCGUAUUGAUCAAAUGAUCAUUUUUGUCUGUAGGAAGCAUGUUUGCAGCAAUAGAAAUAAAUUUUCUUGUAUAACAAUACAACGCUAAUUCUGAUUAAAGGACAAGGACUGAUUUUCAUUGAAAAAUGACUAAAUUAUGUUGAAAUUAUCCAAACUAAACAAUCCUUUUGUCCGUCCGCCCAAUGUUAGUAACGUUCUCUAUUGAAUGUUUCGUAAAGAUAGUCCGUUUAGUUUGGACAAGUUGAAACUCCAUUUCAACUUAAUUAUUUGAAACUAUCCAUUGUCAUAAAGAAACUAUUGCUCCUUAUGCAUCUGAACAAGUAACUGUUCUUGUGAUGGAAGAACAGUAUAAAAGGAGAAGCCAUGAGUUGGGUUCCAAAAUACAGAAAAACCUUCUUAAUUACUACACUAUCUAGUGAGGAUUUCUGAAGACUCACCGGAAAAGUGAAGCCGGAGAAACUAACGCCGACGACACCGUAACAAUGGCCGGAGAGGAGGGCCGAUUGCUGAUGGAAACAUGAGAAAGUGCAUUCAUGGCUACUUAAGGAAAGAGGACACAUCAAGCCAAGAAGAAGGGAAAAGGAAAGAUACCCCUUGAAACUGACAUCAAUAAAGAAUCAGUGUGUUUCUUGUGUAGAAAGAAGGGCCACUUGAAGAAGGAUUGCAUUAAAUUUCAGAAAUGGCUUGAUUAGAAAGGAAUUAAGAAACCUGCGGAAGCCAGUGGGAGCUGAGCGAAGCAUCUAUUUUGGAAAUAAAAUGCAGUCGCAUGUGGAGGCUAUUGAGACAUGUGUUUUAGUUCUUAGUAGUAGUUUCAUUUUGAAAUUAGAAAAGAUCUUUUAUGUUCCUAAUUUUUCUAGGAAUUUAAUUUUAGUUUUAAGACUUGUACCCUUUGGUUAUUCCUUCAAUUUUUCAGAAAGUUAUAUCAAUCUACUUUAUAAAUCUAAAGUUGUCGCUGAUGGUGCAUUGUCUGAUAGUCUUUUCUCUCUU